UUUUAAAUGCGUUAGGGAUUGAGGCGGCAUCCUUUUGUUUUUUACACAAAAAAAUACGCUUUGGCUGGCUAUAUUUAUGUUGUAGAUUCCUGCCUUUAUAGGAAUGACAAAAAAACAAAAGAUAUAGCUGAAAGCCCGACCUGGU
rnacentral:sRNA from 1 species